AUGGUUACUGGUAAUGGUAAUUUGGGCCCUAGUUACCAGAUUACUUAAAAUGCAAAUUGAAGGGCUGCUACUCAGAAUAUCACUCUCUACAUCAUAUUAAAAGUUAUCUCAAAGGUGAAAAAACCCAUUAAUGAAGAAAGAAAACGGUUUUCCUUGGUGCUAUCUUUUUGGUUAUUCUGUGCACACCAUAGUUUACAGAGCUUACCAGUAAUGCAAGAGUUACAUAUUAUAGUAACUGUUGAUAGAAAAUCAAAUUAAUUCCUUAAUUUAUGCUGGAGAUGUUUAGUUGCUGUGGUGUCGUAAAAUAAGUUGCUGUAUAUACUCACAGUGGUGAUGCAUAAUGUUUGUUACAUUAUUUAUGUUAAUCUUUAUUGGCAUACUAUGAUAAACCUGCUCAAACACAUUGCCAUAGACCAGUAAUCCCCAAACAGUGGCUUUUGAGUCACGUUGCUCGUCACCUCCUUUAAAUGUUUCUCAUAGUGACCUGAAACUAGUUUUUUUGAACAUGGAUUUCAAACAUUUUCAUGCUUGUGCAUCUCUCCAAUGCUUUUAACAUUUAAAUGUUACUCACAAGUUAAUAAGGUUGGUGCCUGCUAACCUUGACAGUUCCAAGGCUUAAAAUUCUGUUAAGUGUAAACUUACCCAUAGCCAUUUCCAUCAGUAAAUUUAGUUGUUGUAUGGCAAAUGCUAAACAUAACAUGAAAGAGAGCUAUAUUUAAAGCUACUAUAUAGUUCACACUUUUUGGCACUGAAAAAAAUUUAAAUAUAUGGCACACAUAUUGUUUGAUUCACUGAACAUUUAGAGUGCAGAUCUAUGUCAUAAUUUGUAUGAAGAAAUUCGAUCCAGCACUUGCAGAGCAUUGAAAUCCGGAUUAGAGUGUGGCUGCUUAAAGACUGUGUAUAUGUGUAUAUACACGUUUCGGACCACUUUAGGUCCUUUAUCCUUGACACAAAAUUCGUUGUGCGCACCACAAUUUAUUGCGUAUUGGCGUCAAAACUUGAGUGCGCGCACAUGAGUGCACAGCUUAGAGGCAAUAUUAUGCCUUAAACUGGACCUACACACAGAUUUUCCAUACAGGUUAGGCUAUUUCCAACAAACGGUAUGAUAAUCUGAGAGUGUAUGGCUAUUUAAAGAUUGGUUUGCCAAAAUAGAAAAACAGUCCUCUUAGUGAUCUGAGGGUGUGUAUGUGUAGAUUUCUGGCAGUAGGAACCGUUUUGUGCUUAGUUUAGUGUCAUAUGUCCUAUCACUGCAAUUUGGCAUUUAUAUCUGUGGUCAUAUUGCACUUCUAUCCAGCCAAUUAAUCAAUAGGACAAUCAGUCCAAUAUUCCACAGCUUGUCCUAUGCAUGUACAACUUUACUGAUAUAAUGGAUGUUGUACACAGCAACUGACAAGUUAUAAAGAAUCAGACCCUGGACAACUAUGCAGACAUUUCAUACAUAAAUCCUACUUGCAUUUAAACAUGCCCACUCAACAGUAUGUGUCUAAUUCAUACAAAUAACAUCUCAAUUCCUCUAGACACCAGAUGUUUGCAGAAGCUUUGGAAAAAAACUAAAUUCAAAUGUUAUCACAGAUCAAAGCAGUGCCUUUGCUAUAUUUUCUACAUAAAACCUUUAUUUAUUAGAGGCUUUGCUUUUACACUUAGCACAUAUAAGCAAGAUAUUGUUUGUCACAACUUGAUGGUUUGUCAGAGCUGAGAAACUGUGAGUCAAGGGUGAGAAAUUGAUUGAGUCAGAGGUGGGAAACCGAUAGAGACAGAGGUGGGAAACCGAUAGAGACAGAGGUGGGAAACCGAUAGAGACAGAGGUGGGAAACCGAUAGAGACAGAGGUGGGAAACCGAUAGAGACAGAGGUGGGAAACCGAUAGAGACAGAGGUGGGAAACCGAUAGAGACAGAGGUGAGAAACCGAUAGAGACAGAGGUGAGAAACCGAUAGACAGAGGUGGGAAACCGAUAGAGACAGAGGUGGGGAACCGAUAGAGACAGAGGUGAGAAACCGAUAGAGACAGAGGUGAGAAACCGUUAUCUGUUUAUCCAGUUUUUAUUUUCACACUGAACUGUUCCUUUAAGCAUGAUCCAUUAGUUAUUUGGUUAGGCUGUAGAAAAACUCUUACAUAAGAUCAGACGAGGUAAAAAAAAAACUUGAGUGCUUUGUAAUCUUUGACCUUUUAUGUGGCAUCAGUGCAUGAAUUCAGUACAGGACAGAUUCUUGAUUUCCUGGAAUCUAGUAAUAGUAAGUAAAAUGCUGAUUAUAUAGAAUAAAAUAUUAAAUGGUCGGUUUUAUAAAAGUUAGAAGUUUGUACAAAUUUGCAUUUUGGGCUGUACUCCCCUGCAUUCUGCUUAACAGAGCUAAACUGCAGGGGAGCUUAGGCCUGGACGCAUCUGAUUCUUCUUCAAAGGGAGGACCUCACGAUGAUGCAUGCAAGCGCCGAACGCAAGUGGAACUCGGCAUGUUGGGUUCAAUCUGCAUUCAGUGCUUAAAUGCGUCAUCAGGAGGAUACCCAAUUAAAGAAUCUGUUGGCAAAUUGUAAGCAUUCAGAUGAAACAUGAUUAUCACAAGUGGCAGCAGCCAUCUGAUUCAAAAACCACUAAACACAUUCACAUUCUACUGUUUUCUACCAGUGUAGCUUUAAGUGCUUUUUCUCUGGCAGUUUAAGGAGAUGGAUAUGUAUAAUGUUUUGGGUUUUUUUAAGAAAUGCACCAUCGGUGUUGUAAUUGCAGCUUGGGCAAAGUUGAAGGCUUUAAAUCCCUCAUUGCACAGAAUUACCAUAUAGAUCUUUUACACUUCACGUUUUUUUUUUUCUCAUAUAAAAACAGUAUGCAGUGCUGAUUUUCAGCCUGAAACCAUGUUUGUUUAUUGAGGGCCAAUUGAACACAUUUACUGAGCUAUCCCACUAUUGUUCCAUGAAUUAAUAGAAUGAAUAAGGCACUGUCACCAUUACCAGGUCAUUGCUUUGAGACAGACACAUUUAGGAACAAUUGAUGUAUGUAUAUUUCAUACAGGAUUCAAUAAUGCAUAUUACAAAGAAAGUUUGCUUACAAUGGGUGUCUGUAUUUAUAUCUAUAAGAAUAGUUUUUUAGUCGGUCUUAAACAAUUAGUAAUAUGGGAAUUAAAAGUGGCCUAAACUCUCUUAACUAAUAAUAGUCACUUACAGGGGCGUAACUAUAGAGGAAGCAGACCCUGCAGUUGCAGGGGGGCCCAGGAGUGUAGGGGGCCCAGUGAGACCCUAAUUAAUUAGCAAUUUUAAUAUAUCUUGGUAAAAUAGGCCAACUUAUAAAUAUUUUGGGGCCCUAAAUUGAAUUUGCUAUGGGGCCCAGUAACAACUAGUUACGCCACUGGUCACUUACCCUAAAUGGCUGAAUGGAACCGAGCCAAUGGCUACCACGCUGCAAGAAAAAACACAAAGAAAAGAUUUAUAUUUUCAGGACAGAAAAAAAAGAAUAUGUAAAGUCACAUUUUAGUGUAACUUGUUCUUUUAAUCCUCAAUUUGAUGGUAUCCUGUCUAUAUCUAAGUGGGUCAUUGGUGAAAAGUGUAGUGAUCCAAUUUUGUGUCCUGACCCACGGGUUAAGCAAUAUUGUUCUAAAUGAUAAGGCUCAUCUAAAAGAAAUUCCUAUGCUGGGUACCAAAAAGCCUGAAAAUGUUUGUCAGUGAAACAUAGUUUUAAUGGGGAAACCACACCAGGCCCGUCUGUCUAGCUAUUCUGCUGUCAGACAAACCUCAAAACAUGGAAUGUGUAGUAACUUUUAACUUGGGCCAACUGUACAAAAAGAGCUCUGAAUAUACAGUAUACAUUUCUUCUUUUGAGGAAACUAUACAGGCUAUAUGUUAACUAUUGUGAGACUUCUAAUAAACUUUGCUUAAAAAAUGUAUGUAUGUGUGUAUAAUAUGUUCAGAUAAGUUUGCUAUGUGCUGCACAUGAACUUUUUACAUGCUUCUACUGCGUUUGGAAUAAAUGCGACAUUUUUAUCUAAAGUGAGUGUGACCUUGUUGGAAUAUUUAUAUAUAUAUAUAUAUAUAUAUAUAUAUUAAUUUUUUUUUUUUUUUUAAAUUUUUUCUCUGGUGCUUUGUUUGGUUAAAAUUUGAUUGCAAUAUUGACCCAUUUCACGGUAUGUUUCUAGUUUGUGUGACACUACAAAAGGGCGUAGCACCUUUUGUAGCCAAAGUCCUUUGCUUUACAAGAAAAACGGACAUUUCCAAAUUGUAAUUGCUUCUUGUGGUUUUUAUAUUUUGGUGAUAUUGCCCGGAAUGUCUGAACUUUGCACGCCUUAUAUUCUAGGAAUACGUUCUCUACUGAACGAUAACCUGUAAGGCAACUGUAGUAUUUCAAAACUACCUUAAAAUACUGUUAGAAUAAUUUAUUUUGCUUUACAAAAUUGUCACAUAUUGACUUUCAUAUUGUAUUUUGGUAAUAAACACUUUUUUAAUGAAAA